CAGCCGCCACGGGAAAACAGAGGAUGCAAGCGUUUUCCGGAAUGAUUGGGCGUAAAGCGUCUGUAGGUGGCUUUUCAAGUCCGCCGUCAAAUCCCAGGGCUCAACCCUGGACAGGCGGUGGAAACUACCAAGCUGGAGUACGGUAGGGGCAGAGGGAAUUUCCGGUGGGGCGGUGAAAUGCGUUGAGAUCGGGAAGAACACCAACGGCGAAAGCACUCUGCUGGGCCGACACUGACACUGAGAGACGAAAGCUAGGGGAGCAAAUGGGAUUAGAUACCCGAGUAGUCCCUGUCUCUUAUAC
rnacentral:rRNA from 1 species